GAUGAACGCUGGUGGCGUGCCUAAUACAUGCAAGUCGAGCGAACGGACGAGAAGCUUGCUUCUCUGAUGUUAGCGGCGGACGGGUGAGUAACACGUGGAUAACCUACCUAUAAGACUGGGAUAACUUCGGGAAACCGGAGCUAAUACCGGAUAAUAUUUUGAACCGCAUGGUUCAAAAGUAAAAGACGGUCUUGCUGUCACUUAUAGAUGGAUCCGCGCUGCAUUAGCUAGUUGGUAAGGUAACGGCUUACCAAGGCAACGAUGCAUAGCCGACCUGAGAGGGUGAUCGGCCACACUGGAACUGAGACACGGCCCAGACUCCUACGGGAGGCAGCAGUAGGGAAUCUUCCGCAAUGGGCGAAAGCCUGACGGAGCAACGCCGCGUGAGUGAUGAAGGUCUUCGGAUCGUAAAACUCUGUUAUUAGGGAAGAACAUAUGUGUAAGUAACUGUGCACAUCUUGACGGUACCUAAUCAGAAAGCCACGGCUAACUACGUG
rnacentral:rRNA from 1 species